UUUCUCCCUCAUGUUUCUGUUGUUCAGUUAACACCCUCUGGUCUGGUUUUGAUGUGAAAUAAAGUUGGGUCCUGUGGAGCCCUAUUUCUGUUUCGGGACAUUUUCCACAAUUCUUAAUUUGCACAGUGUUUUAGAGUCUUUGCAAGGCAUAUCUCCCAUGAUUUUUAUUUUAACUGCAUGGUUCGUGUAUUAAAAAUUAUUAAAUAAUUCUCCUAUUCUCCUAUUUUAGGAAGAAGUUUUUCCUUACCCAGAAAUUAGCAAUGAAGAACUGGCAGAAAUCAACCAGUUUGUGGGACCUGUUGAAAAGUUCUUCAAUGAAGAAGUGGACUCGAAGAAAAUCGAUCAAGAUGCAAAAAUCCCACCCGAAACCUUACAAGGACUGAAGGACCUGGGUCUCUUUGGCAUGCAGAUUCCAGAGGAAUAUGGUGGGCUGGGCCUGUCAAACACCAUGUAUGCACGUCUGGGAGAAAUCAGCUCCCUGGAUGGCUCCAUUGCAGUGACCCUGGCAGCUCACCAGGCCAUUGGGCUGAAGGUAAUGCUGCUGCUCUGGGGCCAGGGCUUCUGCACAGAUUGCAUGGAAAAGGUGAAGUGAAAAAUGUGGGGCUUAGGGGGAGCAAAUCAGAAUUACUGGCAAAGCAUAAAUCAGGUUGUUGGUGUCUGCAGCAGCCUCUGCCACUGGUUCAGUGUGAGACAGAAAGGCUGCAUAGGAAGUACACAAGGAAGUUACUAUUAGGAUAAUUGUUCUUAGGUGAAUGAGUCCAAGUUGUUUUUUUUUUUUAAAUUGGCUAAACUUGUCUAAAGUACCUAGAAUAAAUAGAAUUGAAGCAGUAUCAGGGGGGCUCAGGUGAUGAGGAAGGAAAGAAUUCAGAAAAGAGGAACUUUGGCUGGCUGGGGCUGCAUGUUGGGGGGCCUAGAGGAGAUAACUCAUCUGAGAGAAAGUGUGUCAGUUUUGAACUUGAAUAUAGCCUUAGGUAUUUACCUUUUUAGUGCUGGGUGGAUGGCAGAAAGAAGCUUGAAACCACACUCAGUUUGUUAUAGCAAGAGAAGAUUCCUUGUGGAAUUGAGCAGAGAAUGCUAAUGAAAAAAUAUUUUAAUGACUGACAAAUAAUACAGUCUUGUUGAUUAAACUGUCUCUUGCUAUGCCAUAAAACUUGCAGAUGAAGCUUUCUGAACAUGCUGGAGCUUGUCAGCUCCCUCUCUUUUCCCACAGGGUGAUGCUGCAAAGUUUCCUGUGCUUGUUU